UGGCCAAUGACGAUAACUUUAACCAAAUUUACACCAUCUUUCGGGACUGAUUGGCUUAUAUGGCCAUGCUGUUAUUCUGCAAUUCCGAGGCUA